CCUACGUGAGGCAGCAGUGAGGAAUAUUGGUCAAUGGGCUUACGCCUGAACCAGCCAAGUCGCGUGAGGGAAGACUGCCCUAUGGGUUGUAAACCUCUUUUGUCAGGGAGCAACGCCGGCUACGUGUAGCCGGACUGAGAGUACCUGAAGAAAAAGCAUCGGCUAACUCCGUGCCAGCAGCCGCGGUAAUACGGAGGAUGCGAGCGUUAUCCGGAUUUAUUGGGUUUACAGGGUGCGUAGGCGGAAUGCCAAGUCAGCGGUAAAAUCGCGGGGCUCAACCUCGCUCCGCCGUUGAAACUGGCGUUCUUGAGUGGGCGAGAAGUAUGCGGGAUGCGUGGUGUAGCGGUGAAAUGCAUAGAUAUCACGCAGAACUCCGAUUGCGAAGGCAGCAUACCGGCGCCCAACUGACGCUGAAGCACGAAAGCGUGGGUAUCGAACAGGAUUAGAUACCCCAGUAGUC
rnacentral:rRNA from 1 species